GCAGUGGUAAAACUAAAACUUUAAAUGUAUGACAUGUUAUAAAUUUCUGUGACAUGAAUAACAAACAAAAAAUUCAUAAUGUUUUGAUCAAAUAAUCAUACGGACUUUCAGUUUUUUAGAGAUACUUCGCUAAAUAAUGUACUUAACUGUCACAGGAAUCAUGCCAAGUUUGAAAUUUAUGGGAAAAUUUUAAUGUGUAAAAAUUAAGUAGGAAAUUUAUAAAGUAGGAACAGACUAAGUUUAGAAACGCUUUGCUUCAAGAAACGAAAGUGUUUGAAAUCUAAAUUAUCAUAUAAAAGAAAUUAUUUAUUUGUGCUGUAUAUGCAGAAACAAAAUCAUUUGCAUAUUUGAGUUGAGAUUAGGAGUAGUUAGUGUGUAUUAGAGCAGGAAUCUACUUUUUAGAAGCAUCUAUAGGCACAAAAUUUUUGCAACGGGGGCAUAUGUAUUCAAGCGCUAGAGGUGAAAUUCUUGGACCGUUUGAAGACAUCCAAAAGCGAAAGCAUAUGCCAAGUAUGUUUUCAUUGAUCAAGAACGAAAGUUAGAGGAUCGAAGGCGAUUAGAUACCGCCCUAGUUCUAACCAUAAACGAUGCCAACCAGUAAUCUAUCGCAUGUCUAUUGACGUGGUGAUAGGCGACUUUUGGAAACUAAAGUUAUUUGGUUCCAGGGGAAGUAUGGUUGCAAAGCUGAAACUUAAAGUAAUUGACGGAAGGGCACCACCAGGAGUGGAGCUUGUGGCUUAAUUUGACUCAACACGGGAAAACUUACCAGGCCAGAACACUAGAAGGAUUGACAGACUAAGUGCUCUUUCUUGAUUUGGUGGUUGGUGGUGCAUGGCCGUUCUUAGUUGGUGGAGUGAUCUGUCUGGUUAAUUCCGAUAACGAACGAGACUCUCACUUACCAAUAAGGACACUGUUUCCAAAUUGAAGUCGGGUGGAAACAUUAACUAACUUGAAGAUGUGUGUCUUCUUGGAAGGGUUAGUUGAACGAAGUAGCUAAAGAAAGAGCAAUAACAGGUCUGUGAUGCCCUUAGAUGUUCUGGGCCGCACACGUGCUACAAUUGAAUAUAUAACCCGUCCCUGGUUCGAAAGAACUAGGCAAGCGGUUAAUAUAUUUAACAGUCGGGAUUGUCGCUUGAAAGUGUUCGACAUUAACCUGGAAUUCCUAGUAAAGGCAAGUCAAUAGCUUGCCUUGAUUGAGUCCCUGCCCUUUGUACACACCGCCCGUCGCUACUACCGAUUGAAUGUCUUAGUGAGAACCAUGGAAGGCGCCCUAACA
rnacentral:rRNA from 1 species